rnacentral:tmRNA from 1 species
GGAGGCGUAGGUGGUGUAGAAUAUGUUUACACAAAAUACGUUGACGCGAUUAAGAUUGGACAAGUUGUUGUUAACAAUUAUAAAAUUGAAAUAGAAAGCAUGGAUUAUGGGAUGGAAAUACACGGUAUAAUAGGUUCUGACCUCUUAAAGGAAGUAGGGGCUAAGAUAGAUACCAAAGCUAUGAAAAUAACGGUGGGGUAGCCACCCGGUAAUAGGUAGACGUCUCCUUCAACAGUAACUUCGGACAGGGGUUCGAAUCCCCUCGCCUCCACCA